rnacentral:tRNA from 1 species
GGUGGCCUAGUGGUAGAGCGCAUGCCUAGCACGCAUGAAGCCCUAGGUUCCAUUCCUCAGCACCA